CAGCCGCCACGGUAAUACGAAGGGGGCUAGCGUUGUUCGGAUUUACUGGGCGUAAAGCGCACGUAGGCGGAUCGAUCAGUCAGGGGUGAAAUCCCAGAGCUCAACUCUGGAACUGCCUCUGAUACUGUCGAUCUGGAAUAUGGAAGAGGUGAGUGGAAUUCCGAGUGUAGAGGUGAAAUUCGUAGAUAUUCGGAGGAACACCAGUGGCGAAGGCGACUCGCUGGACAAGUAUUGACGCUGAGGUGCGAAAGCGUGGGGAGCAAACAGGAUUAGAUACCCCGGUAGUCCCUGUCUCUUAUAC
rnacentral:rRNA from 1 species